rnacentral:rRNA from 1 species
GACGAACGCUGGCGGCGUGCUUAACACAUGCAAGUCGAACGGAAAGGCCCUGCUUUUGUGGGGUGCUCGAGUGGCGAACGGGUGAGUAACACGUGAGUAACCUGCCCUUGACUUUGGGAUAACUUCAGGAAACUGGGGCUAAUACCGGAUAGGAGCUCCUGCUGCAUGGUGGGGGUUGGAAAGUUUCGGCGGUUGGGGAUGGACUCGCGGCUUAUCAGCUUGUUGGUGGGGUAGUGGAUUACCAAGGCUUUGACGGGUAGCCGGCCUGAGAGGGUGACCGGCCACAUUGGGACUGAGAUACGGCCCAGACUCCUACGGGAGGCAGCAGGGGGGAAUAGUGCAAAAUGGGCGGAAGCCUGAUGCAGCAACGCCGCGUGCGGGAUGACGGCCUGCGGGUUGUAAACCGCUUUCGCCUGUGACGAAGCGAGAGUGACGGUAAGGGGUAAAGAAGCACCGGCUAACUACGUG